rnacentral:rRNA from 1 species
UACGUAGGGUGCAAGCGUUGUCCGGAAUUAUUGGGCGUAAAGGGCUCGUAGGCGGUUUGUCGCGUCGGGAGUGAAAACCAGAGGCUUAACUUCUGGCUUGCUUUCGAUACGGGCAGACUUGAGGCAUGCAGGGGAGAACGGAAUUCCUGGUGUAGCGGUGAAAUGCGCAGAUAUCAGGAGGAACACCGAUGGCGAAGGCAGCUCACUGGGAUGGUACUGACGCUGAGACGCGAAAGCGUGGGGAGCAAACAGG